AGACGUUCAUCACCCUUCCCAGGACCAAGUUCAUUUUCAGCAGUCCAGGUGGGAUGACCAGAAAUGAAAUCUGUGCUGGACUCCUUGGAUCUCCUGGAGGAGUUGGCAUAACUGGGGCACAGCCUUCUUCUCUCGACCAGGCUUCGUUGGAGUGACAGCUGGCAAGUACAUAGAGAGCCCUAGAAGAAAGACAACAAUGAUGAAACAGUUGAAUGUUACAGAUGGUGAAAAGUAGUGUUGCCUUCUCUCUGAAACAAAGAACCAUUGAAGAAUUGUUGAAGCAACGGAUGGAGAGUUGCCCGGCAACAUGAUUCCCCAGGAAUGACAAGUAACAUUCCUUGAUUCAGCGACGCCUAAGUGGAAAAGGAUGAGAUGCCUUAUCUCCUGCCUUCCCAUUUCCCCUUGGAGGACUCUGAAAUGACGAGCACUAUUGAAGAUACUAAGGGAGAAGUGUGUUGCCAGAUGACCUUCUGAGGUCCCCAGAAGGAGGAUGCAGAGAGGGAAUCCACGUCAACAAGACUGGUCUCCAUGAACAGGAGCAGGAAAUAACAUUUUCUGUGACCUACUAUGGACCAGGGGAUCUGCAGACAUUUUAUUUAGC